rnacentral:lncRNA from 10 species
UGCUAUUAAAAAAAAAAAAGUCACUGCAGUGAAGUUUUCAAAUGUGUGGCCAAACGUAGAUCACUUUCUUAAAAAAAGAAAAAAAAAGUUGGCCAAGGGCUCCCCCACUGCUAUACAUUACAAAGAAAAAGGCUACAUAAAAGUGAGCAGGGCGAUGAGGUAUUUCUUUCAUUCACAAUAUAGACAUUAUGUUUAUUUUAUCAUAAAGCCAGAUUUUCACAUUCCUUUUGUCUCUCCCCUGGCAUUGAGAGUUGCUUUCUUGGUUGCUUCCUUAACGAUUUGUGUAAUUGGUUUCACUCACUGAGGCCCAAUUGGUGGGUUCAUUGUGAGUGUCUCAUGAAAUAUGAAUCUAUUUAAAAAUUAAUAGUAAAUCAAUAUUAAUUCAAUAAAAUAUUUUAAUCUGAGGUAUAAAUAUUUUAUACCUUCACACAGACAUGCAGAUUUCAAAAGCCGUUUUCAUGUUUCUGACAGGCUGUCCGGUUUUGCCACGACGACAUGGAAAUUAUUCCUCCUCGUACCGUGUGCCAGCUCUGGGCUCUCUCAGGAAGAGCUGCCCAGUGAACUUCAUCCUGAAUCUGCUUGCCACUUCUCUGCUGGUCACUGCCUGUCUAAACACCGUGACUCCGAAUUCUGCUCAGCAGACUGAAGGGAACACAACUUUGAUGAUUCUCUAUGCUGUACUUGGAGAAGGCUGGUUAGUCAUAAGUUUUAAAGCAGGUCAGUAUAGUGGAUUUCCCGUCUGCCAGCCUCCUUUGCAGUGGGUUGGGACCGAGUGACACCUUCUGGCAAAUGAACUGUGAGUGGAAGUGACAUGUAUACUUCUGAGUCUGAGCGGUUAACAGCCAGUUAAGUGCUUCUCCUCUCUGACUCUUUUCUUGUUGAGGUAAAGACACAUGUUCCAGAUGGUCUGGCUAUAAGAUAGACAAUGCCUAUCUGACACUGAGAAUCUGGGGGUUAUUUGUUGUUGUUGUUUGUUUUUGUAAAGACAAGGUCUUGCUAUGUUUCCCAGGCUGGUCUUGAACUCCUGGCUUCAAGUGAUCCUCCUACCUUGGUGUCUCAAAGUGCUUGGAUUACAGGUGUGAGCCACACUGUCCGGCCUGGAGUUACUUGUUACUAAACAAAGAUUCGGCAAGUGGUUCUCAAUGUGUGGUCCAGGAACCCCUAGGUGUUCCUAAGACACUUGUGUGGGGUUUGCUAAGUGAAAACCAUUUUCAUAAUAAUGCCAUGAUGUUGUUUACCUUUGCCACUCUCAUUCCAUCAUGAUUAUAUAGCUGAGUUUUUCCAGAUGAUUUAAGAUGUGUGAUAAUGUCAUUGCUCUUAUAGUUAAUGACCUGUAUCCUUGUAUAUUCUUG